rnacentral:lncRNA from 10 species
GCAUUGUUCGUAUACCACCUCAGCCUCUCCUCUGGACUACUGAGAAUUUAAAUUUCAGAGACAAAAAGAAUCUCUCAGUUCUGGAUCAUAGCAUUUACUUCUGAGGUAUGGCCAUUUUUGAGUUUCAAUGGAAGACUCUGAAGCUUCAAAUACCAAGGCUCUUUACGUUGUUGGGACUCAAUUUGUUCUCCUCUAUGUUUCCAGAUGAGCACACCUUUCAGUCCAUUUGCUGCCAACACCACCUACAGGGAUCCCACAGUAGCCAUUUUCAUUGGGCUAAACAGCACAAAGAGGCUAUUGUCGAAGAGCAGAUGCAGGAAAAGAUUUUGCCAAAUGGCAUAUUCUAAGUUAAUGUGAAAUAACCAAAACACCUGAUAAUCAUGGAAAGUGAGCUUAAGAGUUUAUGAAGAUGCAUUUUGAAAUAACUAUUGUGGAAAACCUUCUAAGAGACCACCAGGAGAUGAAUAAGAGAAUAUGUGCAGAAAAGAUCAAGAUAAAUUAACCUUUGGGUGAAGUCGAAUAACCCAACUGAUGGAGCCAGAGAGGAUGGAAGGAACAUGUAGUCCAAUAUCAUGAACUAAAAAGGUAGUUUGAGUUAAAUUUUAAAGAGCGUCUAUCAUUUUGUAAUUAAGAACUGAUUUUUCUAUUAAUGUAAAUCAUGAC